GUUGAAUAAGAAUUAACUCAUGUUAAGCUGUGAACAAUUAUACUGUGCAACAAAAUUCAGUUCCAACAAAAUGGAUCUAACCAUACAGAAUUCAAGUAAAAUGAAGGGCCUUAUUUGGAGGCUAGAAAGAUUUGCCGUACCGAAUACAGUGCUAAAAUUGUGAAAAAAAGAACACUUCUCGGCCAGCGCUGAGCACUUUUAAAGGCAAGUUGUAUUAAUUUUUUAAGAUUUUUUUAACUCUCUAAAAGGAUUCAUUUUCCAAAGUUACUAGAACAGGUUUUGGCAACAGGAAAGUGGCUAGGUAAGUAUAGCAUAUUUAUUAAAUAAAUCUGUUUCUUUCUAUAUCUGGUGACGUCAUUGGGACAUGUCUUUGUUAUUAAUAGUAAAAAGUAAAAAUUAAAAUAAAAGUUAUGAUUACCGGAGAAGUUUUUGCUUGAUAUUGGAAGGCCUGGAUUUUGGCUUGUCAAGGAAAAGAAGAAUAUAAUACUUAUGAAGCAGGUAUUUGUGCGCAUCAUUUUGAUCCUUUUAAUUUGUAAUAAAAAAAAAUAUAGCCUUAUUUCAGAGAGUUAUUAAGGUUUAUUUAGAGUAAUGUAGCUUUAAAUACUAAAUUGCGCAAUUUGGGUUUGUCUUCUGGCUUCAGCAGCAGCUUCUUGGACUCUUAAAUUAUAAUUGAGUGAUUAUAUUCUAAUGAAUGUUCAAACUUUAGAAAAAAACCCAGCACUUUUGGGAAUAUUUUUACAUGUUAAAUAUGAGCCACAUCGGCGGAUGGUAUCGGGGUUACGAUCCAGAUCAUUAUAAAAAUAACAAAAAUCAUCAUUAAAAAGCUGGGUGCAAAAUUCCCAAUCCAUACUCAGAGAUAAUACACAAUCUCCUUAUGCUGACGAUUUCCAAGUCUAAAUAUCAACUCAACACCCUUUAAGAAUUGCAAUAUCGAGCCGUUCACAGCGACAAUUUUGGGAGUGGAUAAUGAUUUACCUGGUUUGCUCAAUGGCAAGUCUAAGUUUUUAUAAACCCGCAAUAGAAGAAGCUAUCGCAUCACUAUCACAUACUACAAUUUUGUUUUAGAAGACGAACUCCCCUCUGUCGACCAAUUUGCCAAUGUGGAGUUUGUCCAGUUCAAAUUCAAAAACAGAAUUGAUUAUUAACUUACAUUUUUAGCUCUACAUACUUUAACAUAAUGUCUUUUUUCUUGUAGCCCCGGCAUUCGGCCUCCUUUGCAGGGCACAGUCUUCCAAAUUGAUGUUGAGCCUUGAAAUCACACUUUUCCCCAGAGAUUCUCUUCAGUCCUCGUCCAUGAUCUGCCACGACUUUAAUUCCACCUUCCUCCAUGACCUCUACUAUUAAUAUGUAUUAGUUUUUGUUUUUUAAACAGUUGCUUCAAUGAUGUUCAGUAACAAUUAAUCAAUAAAAGUUAUAGCCAAGUAGUACAA
rnacentral:lncRNA from 1 species